AUUUUCGUUUUGCAGCUGUGGAAAACUACAUUUGGUUUUUUUCCCUUGUCUCUCAUGCUUUUAAAGCCUAACCACACCCUCUUCUUCCAGACGGAAAGACUGUUAUUUCAAACAUUCUUGCUUUGCUUUUGAAGCUGGACACUAGUUGCCAAACAGUGUUUGGCGAGAUCUUUUCCGCGUGCCCUCUGGGAGGAGUUCUCUGUUAUAUCAACCCCAACAGAUUUGAAAGCUGAGCAACAGGACCGGGCUCCAUUUGGGAACUGAGAAUCUACUGCUGAGCAGACAGCAAGACAUCGCCCGAGAGGCAGAAAACAUGUUUAAAUUUAUUCCUUUUGAUGAUCCAGUUAAUACAAAAGGACAGGCUGUUGUGGAUCAGGUGACAAAAGCUGGUCAGAAAGAAGAUACUGGCAAAAAAGCAGUGCAAAAUGUAACAAGUCAGGCAACAGCGUCGGGUAAAAAGGACGAAGAAAAAAAGAACAAAGAAAAGAAGUAAAACAUUUCAACCUAAAUGGGCUGAUCUUCCUUUUGGUUUGCCCAGAAUGUUUGAAAUGAUCCAACCAUGUCUUUAUGCAUUGGAAAUUUAUCUUCCCAUAACUACCCUAUUAGAUGUACUUUACAUACCUUCACUGAAGGUUAAACUAUAUAUUGCAUAAAUGUUGUUGCAGUAUCAAACAUUAAAUAAUUUCAAAGUGAA